GCACCCAUGGAGCAGUAGUUAGCUCAUUCCUCUCCCAUCGUAGCCGAGUGGUAAAGGAAAGACCCGGGUGCAAAUCCCGGUGGGUGCA
rnacentral:tRNA from 1 species